UUCGCCUCUUUAACUCUACACAUAACUCGAUCUGUUUAAAACAUGGCAUGAAAUUCUUAAUUUUAACAUGUUAAUGGUACAUAUGAGUGAUGUGAUGAUGAUGCAUACAUUGCAGUACAAGGAUACUUCAGAAGCAGCAGUUGCAGGGGCAAAAAGCAUUUUCAUGUCAUGUGUGAGAUCAGGGACGGUGAAACGUCUGAUCUACACUGCGUCUGUUGUUUCAGCCUCUCCACUGAAAGAAGAUGGGAGUGACUUCAAAGAUGUAAUGGAUGAAACUUGCUGGACCCCUCUCAAUGAUUUCCUUGGAAUACGUUUACCUUGAAGAUCCUGCGUACAAGGUUAGUUGCCAGCUUUUAUUCUUCAAUUUGUUUCAAAGAAAGAAUUCGGGUUCUUGCUGCUCUUGCUCCCAUUUGCACAUUUUGUUGUCUGGAUUAUAAUAGAAAGGUCAAGAAACAAGACAUGUGAUGUGAUACAAACCGAUAGAAACGUAUAUGAAACGUAUUAUAAAAAUAAAUUUAACUUAUUGUUUAAAAUCUAAAAAGUGAAAAGACAAUAUAAUUUAUUUAAGUUAUUUUAUUCUUCUAUCUUUUUAUCAUCCUUAUUAAAAAAAUUAUUUUACUAUAAAUUCAUUUAAAAAUUAAUUUUUAAUUCUUUUAUAUUAUAUAAAGAUAUAAUAAAAAAUUAAAUAAAAACAUUUUCAAUAACACAUAUAUAAUCUAUAUAUUUUUGUUGUUUAUUUCUAUAAUCAUAAUAAAAUUUUAUGUAAUAAAUUUAAAUUUUUAAAAAAGUAUUGUAUUUGAGUAUUUUAAAAUUAUGUUGUAACAAUGUUAGAAUUGUAAAAAUCUAAAAAAAAAAAUUGAUAUUUUUGGUACGUAUCCUAGUUUAUCAGUGUCUGAUGUGAAUAACACACUAUUCAAGAGGCAUUUAUGAAGUUCAUAUAUACUUAGUAUGAGUGAUAUGUGAUAAGCAUGUUAACAUAUAUUAGCUGAGCCUCACAUGAGAAAGUGUAUGCAUGUGAUUUAUUAAGGAUUUACUUCUUUGAGAGAGAUGAGAUAGUCAUUUAGAGAGAUUCAGCUAACUGUAAAGUGAGUGAGAAAUAAUUUUAAUCUUUAACGAGGAAAGCAUUAUUGAUAUUAAGUCUCAUGUACUAAAGAACAAUAUCUUCGGGAUUUCAUCAGUUGAUUUUCUUACAUGAUUGAGAUUGUUUAAUGCUAUUGUAUUGGUCUUAUAUUUCAAGGACUAUACUUAUUCAAAAACACUGUCUGAGAAACAUCUGUUGAGCUAUGGAAAUGAUGAAAAUGGUGGAGGAUUAGAAGUGGUAACACUCCCUUGUGGACUAGUGGGAGGUGAAACCCUUACAUCUUCUCCCAGUAGCAGCAUAAUUUGUAUCGCACAGAUCGUGCAACAGGAAAGGGCCUACAAAUCACUCAAGUUCCUAGAGGGAUUGCUGGGUAAAGUUCCUCUUGUACACAUUGAUGACGUAUGUGAAGCUCAUAUUUUCUGCAUGGAAAGCACUUCCAUCAGUGGAAGAUUUUUGUGUGCAAGUUCUUACAUUUCAUUACAAGAGAUGACUAACCAUUACGCUCUUCAUCAUCCAGAAUUCACCGUCAAACAAGAGUAAGUGAUUUCCUGUUCUUGGUCACUGCUAGAUUUAUUUCUUCUCUUGGUCUCCUUUUUCCUUGUUUCUUAAAGAACUAACUCAAAGGCCUAAAUAGUAGUAUAUUUAUGUAAAUAGAUGUUAAACAAGGACAUUUUCAAUGGAAUAACUGUAAGCACGAUUAAGAUCAAAUUUUUACAUGAUUGUGUAGUCUUGGAUUACACCAAUUAAGUUUUCUUCCUACUAAAUGUUUACAGUUUUCAUCUGAAAAUUACAUUUCAGAUAUAAAGAUGGGCAGAGUAAGGAUAUCAAGUGGACCUCAACAAAGCUGUGUGACAAAGGAUUUGUAUAUAAAUAUGAUGCCAAAAUGAUAUUGGAUGAUUGUAUCAGAUAUGCAAGAAAGAUGGGUGAAAUCUAGUGUCCAUCUACACCCUCUUUGCAUCUGCUUGUAACAUGUGGAUGUCUCUUUUUUCCCUAUCUUCAAUACUUUUGUUUUUGUCUUGUUGAUUAAAAAAAACUCAGUUCUAAAUUAAUUGAAAUAGUACUACAUUAAUUAGAAAAUAAGGACUGUGAUCAUUACUACACAGUAUCCCUGUUUACAGAAUAUUUUGUUCUAUUUAUUUAUUUACUAAGCAUUUCCCUGUAGUAUAUCAUGUUCAUUUGGUGUUUCAAUCAGUAUUGUAAUGGUUACAAGUUUUAUUACCUAUAUGUUGUUUUUUGAGUUUCCAAAAAAGAUAUCAUAUCUAGCAUUGUUUAGUUUUUUUCUAAUUUAAAGAGUUUAUGCUCUUCAUAUGGACCACUCAAACAUCUUAGUUGGUCCUUCACAUAUAUACAGGAGAGUGGUAAAGGGAUGCCUUUUUGUUGUGUAGGAAACAGUGUGGGGCCAAAUUGAUCAAUCUUUAGGAGAAAUGAUCAUUGACUAUUGAUUACACAAUUCUAGAAAUAUACCUGAACCAUGACCAGGAUUUACGAUUUAGCAAAAUAGGAGUAUCUCUGAAUUGGACUGAAAUUUAAAUCCAAUUCAAUUAAGCAUAAUAAACAAAUGGUAAGAUGCGUAAUGAACAUAAUUUAAAUGGUUUAAAAUAUAUUAUAAGUAUCUCAUCUACAGAUUCGGAGAUAGUUGACAAAUAUAAAUUUGGUUUAUUUACAUUUAAAAUAAGUGUGUUUCAAAUAAGACAUUUUUUUUAAAAUUAUUUAAUAUAUGUAUAAUUUUCUUCUAAUAAAACAGAGAAUUGGCUAUUUUCAAAAUAAACAUAGUAGACAAAUGCAUUAAAAAACAUAAAUUUAUUUUAUUAAAAAAUAUAAAUAAAUAAACCGGUCCGUAUAAAAUUACAAAAACUAACAUGUUUAUGUGUCAUUUUUAUACAAUUUUGUUUACUAUUUUAAUGUAAAAUUUAUAGAUAAAUUAUUUUAAUUAUAUAUUUUUGUUAUUUCAGUUAAUAUAUUUUGAUUGAACUAUUAUGUUAUAAAUUAUAAUAUUUUGAACUAUAAUAUUAAAAUAAUAUAAAUAGUGUAAUAGUUAGAAUAGUAUAUUAUAUUUUUUUUAAACAAUAAUAUUAAAAAUAUAUUUUCUUAUCUAUAACCAUCUGUAAUUUUAAAUAUAACCUAAAAUAAUAAAAUAUAUAUUGAAAGAAUAAUCAUUGUUAAAAUAAACUUAUAAUUUAUUCAUAAAAAAUCUUUUCAUUGGUAUAAUAGGUUUCUAUCUUGUUUGUUCUUAUAAUUCUUUAUGAAUAGGUAUAGUUUACUUUUGUAUCGUUUUUGUUAACAUAUGAGUUUUGGUCUAUUCUUCCCAUAUUUUUGUAUUUUUUUUAAUAAUAUUUGUUAUGUAAUGAGUAAUGAUUGUUGUUACUUGAGUUGUCAAAGUAAUUGAGAUUUUAAGUUGCAUAAUAAUAUAUAACAUAUUUUUAUUUAAAAAUAAAAAUAAACUUUGUAAUAUAAAAAUCAUUAAAAAUACUAGAAAGAAAAAAGUAAAUACCUAUUUUAAGAAGAGGAAAAAAAAGAGAAAAAAUAAUACAACCCUGAGUUAUGAAAAAUAGAAUAUGAAAAGGAAAUUUAAUGAAUACAUUUUAAAAUAAAAGAGAAAUAAUAUGUAAGAAAUUGAAAGUUAGCAUUUUAAAUUAAGAAAUGUUACUUGAGUUAAGAUAGUGGUGCUGUUUCAAACUAAACCCAUGUGACUUUGAUCCUGCAGUUUAAGAACACAAUCAUUUCUUUAUAUCUUAGCUUAUUAUUAUACUUUUAAAUUAUCUUACAGCAUUACAACUUGUGUGAAUACAAGUCAAUGUAUUUGUUUUAUAUUUUAAUCUUAGUUUUACUAUCUGCUUUGGAGGUCGACACUGGUGCAAAUAUUUUAUUUUAACUUGUACACAUUUUCUAGCAGUUUUAAAUAUACUUUGUUUUUUUUCUUUUGUUUUUAACUGUCAUGUCUGAAACAAUGCCGAAUUAAUUUAUUUAAUUUAUUUCAUUACAAGAAAUCCACAUAAUAUCUCACGUUUCUUAUUUCAACGUCACUUAUGUAUUUUUACUAUUAUAAUAUAUAUAUAUAUAUAUAUAUUAAAAAUGAAACUUAAAUACAUAUAUAUCCUUGUAAAAUUAUUACCAAUUACUGUAUAUUAGUAAAUAAAUUCUUAUCAUUAUACUAAUAUAUUUAUAUAUCUUUUGGCAGAGACUUUUAUCAAACUAGCACAUGCCACGAGAUCUCCAGAAUCUUCCUAUUCGAUAAGACUUUUAAGCAAAAACAAGUAUUUAAACCUAAACCUAUCCAAAUAGUGAAAUACCACCUUUAAAUCUUUAAUCAUGAUUAAAUAUUUUUUUAUUGUAUCAUUAUGAAAUUAUUUUUUUAUCAUUGGUCGACCAUUUAGUUAUUUAUAGUAUGAAAAUAAUUAAAAUUAGUUCUUAAAUAGAAUAAAUUUUAGUUUUUUUUCAAAAAUAAUAUUUUUAUAAAAAAAAAUCUUUUUGAAGUCGUUAUACUUCUUGAAGCUUUUGCAGGGCUUUUGCUCAAUGUUAAAGAUCCCUACCCUCAUCUUGCGGGGCUCCCCUUGCCCUUUCUUGGUUGGUAAAUCAACCAGCCGGAUUUCAUUAAUAAAGGGAUAAAAUUUGGUGGUUCUAAUUAUAAUUUUAAUAGGAAAACAAAAAACAUGUGUCUAUUAUAAUUAGUUUUGAUGUACUGAUGAAGUGAAAACUAAAAUGGAAUCAAUUCUACAUAUAAAAAACUUAUUUUAAUUAUUUUUAUAUUAUAAAUAUCAAAAUAAUCUAAAAUUUGAUAAGUAACUAAAGUUAAUUUAAUGUUAUAAAGUUUAAUCCUUAAAUCAUUAACUCCUUGCUGCACACAAGUUGUUUUUCUAUAGCUUCUAACUAUUAAUAAACGGAGAAACGAGAAAUAUAUUAUAAAAUUUUUAUUAAUAUUUUUGAAGGAUACAAUUGAAAUUUGAAAAUUUAUGUUGAUAUUAGAAGUUUGACACACACUUUUAAGAGUGAGUGGAAAUAAAAAAUCUUAGUAUUCUCUAAAAAGUAAAUUAAAAAUUGUACUCUCAUAGCCACGUUGAUCAGAAUACCGAAUCAUAUGACUACUCGUUCAUGAUAGGAAAAAGAUCACAUGAUCGAUCAAGCUCAUGAUGACGAGACAUGGUGACCAAGUCAACAGGGCUAACCCAGAUUAAUGGUUGUUUAACGCAACCCUAAACACGAACCAACCUCUUAAUCUGGCCCACUAACAAAGACUCAUUAAGGUAAUAUAAAUAACGCGAAUUUCAAGAAUGAGGUACAUCAUUAUCUAACUAACAACCGAGUGUUGACACCUUGAAACUUGAUCGUCGGAGUGCUCUAAGCCUGUACUACCAGAUGGCCGAGAAAAGAAAGGUGAAGCAGGAAGCCGAGUGCGAAAACGACCGACCGAGUGGAAACAAAAUAAUCGUUCUUUAUGUCCCAACAAUCGUUCAAGAAUAAAUAUUUAAUAAAUUAAAGCGUAUGUGCUAAAAUAUAUAUUACCGAACCGAUACUGUUGGUGCAGUGGAGGCCAGCCACUGAACUACAGAAGGCAUGGAAAAGUACUUGUAAUGGCUCCGGCCAUGUCUAUUAUUUAUGCAUAUAUCUGUGUCGUUCUGGUUUGUUAAUUUCUUUUAUAAUUAUUACAUUCCAAGACUUUAAAAUGGGAAUGGUGAUGGAAUAAAAAUUGUUUUAACAUUGCGUGUACCGCUGUUUUACUCUUACUAAAAAAAUGAUAGGCGGCUUCUUCUAAGAGAUUAAUCAAGGACGAACACACUAUGAAAAUUUAGUUCUAAACAUCACUUUAUUAUAUAAUAAAUUAAAUAGAUUCAUGCAUUUUUACUGAAAUCUGCAAGAGGGUACCAAUUCAAAAUAUAACAGUCCACUCGUGUUUGAAGAGUGUUUUGGCAGUAUUUGUGAGCCAGGAAAUCCACUUUAUAAACCACUCCAACUUCAGUUCAAGUUGUAACUGUUUGUAGUGUAUACUUAUCUGUGUAAAGAGAAUAAAAAUGGGGGAAGGGAGCAAGGUAUGUGUCACAGGAGGCAGUGGUUACAUAGGUUCCUGGCUCGUCAAGAAGUUACUGGCCAAGGGUUACAUUGUUCAUGCAACUGUCAGAGACUUGAGUUAGUAUUCUCUCUCUUUCUCUUUCUGCACACUAUGUAUGUUCUCUUGUGAAUUUUGAUUCGUAUUUUGGAACAUAAUCAACAGAGAACGAGUCCAAGGUAGGGCUCUUAAAGAGCCUUCCUCAUGCAGAAGCCAAUCUGGUUCUGUUUGAAGCUGAUAUUUACAAUCCAACUCAAUUUGAUCCUGCAAUUCAAGGAUGUGAGUUUGUGUUUCAUGUUGCUACUCCCCUCGCCCAUGAACCAGAUUCACCUCAGGUUCGCCUGUCUAACUCUAUACAUAACUAAAUCUGUUUAAAACAUGGCAUAAGAGUCUUGACAGAUUAUAGUUUUAACAUGUUAAUAGUAUAUAUGAGUGAUGUGAUGAUGUAUAAUGCAUACAUCGCAGUACAAGGAUACUUCAGAAGCAGCAGUUGCAGGGGCAAAAAGUAUUGUGAUGUCUUGUGUGAGAUCAGGGACGGUGAAACGUCUGAUCUACACUGUGUCUGUUGUUUCAGCCUCUCCACUGAAAGAAGAUGGGAGUGACUUCAAAGAUGUGAUGGAUGAAACUAGCUGGACCCCUCUCAAUGAUUCCUUGGAAUACGUUUACCUUGAUCCUAUGUACAAGGUUAGUUGUCAGCUUUAAAUUCUUCAAUUUGUUUCAAAGAAAGCAUUCGGAUUUUUGCUACUCCUUGCUGUGUCAUUUGCACUUCUUUUUGUUGUCUGGGUUAUAAUAGGUAAGUAAAGAAACAAGACAUGUGAUAGAAACAAAGAUAUAAACA
rnacentral:lncRNA from 1 species